UUCCGGUUGAUCCCCCGGAGGCCAUUGCUAUCGGAGUCCGAUUUAGCCAUCUAGUCGCCGGGUUCAGACCCGUGGCGAAUAGCUCCGUAACACGUGGCCAAUCUACCCUASGGACCGGAAUAACCUCGGGAAACUGAGGCUAAUCCCGGAUACUGCUCCCACGCUGGAACGCCGGGAGCCGGAAACGUUCCGACGCCGUAGGAUGAGGCUACGGCCGAUUAGGUAGACGGUGGGGUAACGGCCCACCGUGCCAAUAAUCGGUACGGGUUGUGAGAGCAAGAACCCGGAGACGGAAUCUGAGACAAGAUUCCGGGCCCUACGGGGCAGCAGGCGCGAAACCUUUACACUGCACGACAGUGCGAUAGGGGGACUCCGAGUGCGGAGGCAUAGUGCCUUCGCUUUUGUGUACCGUAAGGUGGUACACGAAUAAGAGCUGGGCAAGACCGGUGCCAGCCGCCGCGGUAAUACCGGCAGCUCGAGUGAUGGCCGAUCUUAUUGGGCCUAAAGCGUCCGUAGCCGGCCGGGCAAGUCCGUCGGGAAAUCUACCAGCUCAACUGGUAGGCGUCCGGCGGAAACUGCUCGGCUUGGGACAGGGAGACUCAAGAGGUACGUCCGGGGUAGGAGUGAAAUCCUGUAAUCCUGGACGGACCACCGAUGGCGAAAGCAUCUUGAGAGAACUGCUCCGACGGUCAGGGACGAAAGCUGGGGUCUCGAACCGGAUUAGAUACCCGGGUAGUCCCAGCUGUAAACGAUGUUCGCUAGGUGCGACGCAGACUACGAGUCUGUGUUGUGCCGUAGGGAAGCCGAGAAWGAACCGCCUGGGAAGUACGUCCGCAAGGAUGAAACUUAAAGGAAUUGGCGGGGAGCACUACAACCGGAGG
rnacentral:rRNA from 1 species